UACGUAGGGGGCAAGCGUUGUCCGGAAUCAUUGGGCGUAAAGCGCGUGUAGGCGGCUCAGUAAGUCUGUUCUGAAAGUCCAGGGCUCAACCCUGGGAUGCGGAUGGAUACUGCCGAGCUCGAGUCCGGAAGAGGCGAGUGGAAUUCCUGGUGUAGCGGUGAAAUGCGCAGAUAUCAGGAGGAACACCAAUGGCGAAGGCAGCUCGCUGGGACGUGACUGACGCUGAGACGCGAAAGCGUGGGGAGCAAACAGGAUUAGAAACCCUCGUAGUCC
rnacentral:rRNA from 1 species